AUAUAAAUAAAAAUUAUUUAUUUGAAGAAUAAAUAUAAAUGUAGAGAUAAAUAAAAAUUAAAUUAAUUUUAUAUUUAGAUAAAAAUUGAAUUAUUUUUCAGAAUAAAAAAAAAUAAUGUUUCGAUAGAUAAGAUAAAAUUAACACUUCAGAAGAAAAAAAGAGAAAUAGAGAACGAUUCGUCCUUCUUCUUUUCUAUCCGUUUGGAUGGAAGGAAAAGAAAAAAAAAGUUUGGAUGAAAAUUUGGUG
rnacentral:lncRNA from 1 species